rnacentral:misc_RNA from 1 species
CUCAAGCCUCUCAUCAUCCACACAUGAUACUAGAGCAGGGUUGUCAUUGCUGAUGGAUGCAAUUAUACCCGUGUGUGGAUCCUCUCCAUCAACAUCAAAAACUGUGAAUUCAGGUCCAAAGUCACAAAACACAGAACCAAAAAGACCUCUAACUUCAGCCUUAAUGAAAGAGAUAGGCGGCUUAUGACUAUGGCAGUAGUCAUUAAACUCAAUGGCCUUCUUAAGAUUGAUAUCAGUAAAAACAACAGCCUGGAAAUCAGAAAGUUUCUCUUUUGUUAGUUCCGUAGUUAAGGUCGAAACAACCACUGCAUUAUUGAGUUCCUGCAACUUCUGAACAGAAGCUAAUGCCCUGUUCUUUCCAACAUCUUUCUCAGAAAAAACAAAAUUACCGGAUAAAUCCCACAGCUCAACCUCCCCUUCAUCGUGCAAUGCUAUAGACUUGACCCCAGCAAGAAUAAGGUUUUUAGCAAUCUCAGCACCAAGACCUUGCAUGCCCGAGACUAGGACAUUGGAGGCAAAAAGCCGCCGCAUGGUUUCACGGCCAUACACAGCAAGUUGCCGGCUGUGCAGAUCCUCAUCAAUAUCACCCAGAUUUGCAUCACCAGGCGCCAUAAUCAAAUCGCUACUACUGUUGUCGCUGUUGUUGCCAACGAUGCUAGUGUUGAUGUUGUUGGUGGUAGUUGUAGCGUUUUCCGUUGAUUCCAAAACGCAACCGAACCGAUGCUUCUUAAUCGAGGUAGAACCUGCUGUUUUGCUUCCGUUCUCUUCUUCUCCUUCUACAAGCACGCAGUCAACAGGCCGCUUUCUUGGAAGCAUAAAGUACAGUAAACUGCCUAACAAGCCACAAAACCCAAUAGAAAUUGUUAAAAUGGGAACCACCCCAGAGAAUUUGCGAUUAGAAAACAUUAAUCCCUCAAAGAUCGGCGCCAAAACUAUAAACCCUAACCCUAGUUUAAGGUUCCACAUGAUUCCAAGGCAAAGAUGGCAAGCAAAAGAAAGAUCAUUAACAAUCUAACAAGGAGAAAGAAACGUACCGACUAGGAUUGUGAUUUGAGGAACAAUAACACGAAAUUGGAUAAGAGGAAGCGAGCGAAAGAGGCAAAUUUGGUUCUAAUUCGUUUCUUGAAGUGUAGUACUAAGUGAUUUUUGCUUCAUUUAUACAAAGGGAAACGGAAAAGGGCAUAUGUGGAUUUUGAACAAGAGUAGGGUUAUGGGCUAAGGACAGAUCCUGUUUGGCGGAGUCGCUACUGUACUAUACAUCAUCAUCUUCUACACGUUUUGAGAGAACGAGGGGCUUUUGGCGUGGACAUAGAGAGGAGAGGAAGAUGGUUGUUGUGCUUGUGUGGGGCCUGCGAGAGAUAUCAACGGUGGAUGAUUCAACCAUGUGAUGAAUGUGAAGUCGCUUAACUGUACAAAAUUCGGAGAUUUAUGUGGUUACCAGCUUAAGAGAAAGUGAGUUUUCAAAUUUGAGUCUAAUAAAUGAGUUAUAUAUUUUAACAUUAGAUUAAAUUAAACUAAAUACCUAUGGCACUGA